rnacentral:rRNA from 1 species
GACGGAGGGGGCAAGCGUUGUCCGGACUCACUGGGCGUAAAGGGUGCGCAGGCGGCAGAGCGCGUCCGCGCUGAAAUCUGUCGGCUUAACUGACAGGCGCGUGCGGAUACGGCUCAGCUCGAGGCACGGAGAGGGCGGGGGAACUCCUGGUGUAGUGGUGAAAUUCGUAGAUAUUCGGAGGAACACCAGUGGCGAAGGCGGCUCACUGGUCCAUUACUGACGCUGAGGUGCGAAAGCGUGGGGAGCAAACAGG